UUCUAUCAAGAUUCAGGGCCAGCUGAAUUGCAACAUGUCCCUCUAACCUGCUAAAAUUCACAAAGCUUAUCACAAGGUCAAGAAUGAUGGCCGAGCCCGGAAACAUGGCUGUGACUUGAAGAGAGGCUUGCCAAUCAAAUGUUGUUGUGCUGAACUGUCUGAAGAUGAUUGCUACUUAAGACUUUCUGAAAUGGGUCUCCAUUUCGACAUGAUCAGCUGCAAGCUUCUGAACAAGACCCCUCAGUGAGCACAGGACCACACAUCUGUCAAUCACACCUUCAGUCCAGCUGCUACGGCUCUCUUCUGGUACUUCUGAUGAAGUAGAAGCCCCGCAACUGUUCUCAGCAGCAGGAGGCAAGGCUGUCAUCUGUCUGCCCUCCUGGUAGCCCCAUGGGACUGUUGCUGAUAUGAGUGGUUGCUCUCUCAAGAUGUAAGAUCUCAGCUAUUGUCCCAGCACCAUGCCUGCCUGCCUGUUGCUGCCAUGCUUCCAGCUAUGAUGAUCAUGGAUUCGAACCUUCUGAAACUGCAAGACCGAUAAGUGGAUGGAAAUAGACGGAGCUGCUGCACUGGUCUCCCUCCCUCCAAGGCUGUGGCUAAAGGAAGAGAAGACGACUGUGGAUUUGGAAUCUGGACACCAGGGCUCACCGCAGAACAUAUCACUACAGCGCACAGAAAUUUAUGCGUAUGGGCAUUUUGCCUGCAUGUAUAUGC